GGUAGAAGCAGGAGGAUCUGUGGCUGAGUCUGUCGACACCAUGUGGUGAUGUGGAGCCACUGCACUGAGGAACCUCGGCUGCAUCUCCCAUUGAUACUGCUCCCUGUUUGAUUGAAUGAUUGUGGACCACUGGGAACUAUGUGUGUGUACAUGCGUGUUUGUGUAUGCACUGUAGCUGGUGACGGUGGUUUUGUGUGGAGCAGAUGGCAGACUUUACUGUUGUGUCAUAAAUCUGCUUCAUUUUUGAGAGGAAAAAAGUCAGGCAUUAAGACAUUUCUCAGUACCCAGAGCAUAAAGCAGACAGUUUUGCUAAUGUCUGCUGAUUAUUCUGACUACUUGUUGUUAUCUGGGUGCAGAGGACACGCUGAAUCUGCUCUCACUGUGUCCCUAUACAUGCACUCGCCAGCAGUCACGGACAUACAGUUGGCCUACAGGCAGGGAUAAAAAUAGCACAAACCGAUGCGACGGGCGCAGCCCUUUUCCCUUCUCAGACUUUUCUAGGCUGCCACUCAGUGGAUACUCACUGCCUCCAUUUCCAAACCCCCAGUACCAUCCACCUCAGCCCACCCCGUCCCAUCACGUAAAGUCUCGUGAAUGUCCACGCGGCAUGAGUGCAGAUGGAAGGCGUGGGGUGUGUGGAGAGGGUCUUACAGUAUAAAGGUGUUAGAUAUCGAAGGGGGGUGAGGGUGGGGUGAGAGACAGAGCAAUGCUGUGGAGGGAGGUUUAUUUGUGCUCUUUUGCAUGGACAAUUGUGUGCUCCCCAUGGGUCUAUUCCGUGGGUGAGCGGGGUCUGGUGCGUGGGCACGACCGGUGAAUAUAGAAGACGGGGGAGGCAGCGGCUCAGCUCGCUGUGUUUUCCUCUCACUCGGCUUAGAGAUACAGUGUUUUACCCGCCAAAUGCACUGGAUGCUGGGAUAUAAAUUAUCCAAGACCAAAACAGCACCAGCACUUGGUGGGGGGAUAUAUAGAGACAGGGGAGGGGGGAGGUGGGCUGGAAACCCAGAUGCUCCAGCGUUAGAGGAGGGUUGUUACCAGGAGAUAACCUGCUCCAAAGCUGCUGUUUUCCACGAGUCCACACCACACUGUCCACCUGUAUGUUCUCCUGUUCUGUCAUUCUUUUUUUCCUUUCCACGGCGCAUUUUCGCAGCGCUGAUCACAGAGCGGCCGUCUUUAAUCAGACUCUCCGGGCUGUAAAGUGAGAGAAUCUAAACGUGACGUCAAUGCCUAGUAACUGACGCAACCCUUCAACAAAAAAGGCUUUUUAUUUAUUAUUUUUCCUCUUCUCGUCAGCAAAGCUUAAUUACUAAAUUUUACAGUGCUCCGUCGACUAAGAGAAAAAAGAAAAUCCCCUAGGGAGCGCCGGGUAGUCCGUGCUCAUCAGUAUUUGGACCUAUUUAGCCUUCCUGAGUUUUCAGCUGCCGAAGUGACUCUGGGACCAGAAGCUUCUGAAGAGGGCGACAAGACAUCAAAUACUGUCGAUGAUAAUGGCAGCGUCGACGAGUUCCAGGUCUUAGUUGUUGAGGGAGAAAGUAGCAUGUUUUUAAGGCUGGAGGAGGACGUGGUGGUGCUGUUGAAGCCACAUUGGGUUUUAAAAAAAAUCACUGCAAUGAUGCAACAGAGGGGAAUCGGGGCUCUUGUGCAGAGUUGGAGAAGCAAAAUUAAUUUACAUUACAUGCACUUCACGUAACGAUCCUAAGCGAUGCCUUUUGUGAAUGUUUUUUUCCUUCCUCGUACUGUGACCUAAAAAUAGCAUCAUAGUUUUGAUCGUACGCCAGAAAUAGACAGACGGGUAUCACUUGUAUAAAAAGGAAGCGAUCCUGAGCAAACUUGGACGUGCCACUUUUAGAACAAGGACGUGUCUGCUACGCGAGGGGGAACCCUUCUCUGAUGAGCGCUAAAGGACGCCUUUCCCCCCGUUUUCUUGUUUUUAAGAGGAGUCGUUCUGACAGAAAAAGCGGCGGUGGAGGAGGACGAGGAGGAGAGGAGGGAGUGAAGUGAAGGAGCUGUUGCUGCAGCAGAGACUAGGCGCACCGCAUGGGGAAACCCGGGAGCUGUCCAGCAGCAAUGGAGAGAACAAUGACAACCAAAACAACAAGGGUUAAAAAUAAAAAUAAAGAGGUGACUUGUGCCCGAGGUGGACGCUGCUGCCGCCGCCGGAGCCUCCACCUGUGCGCCGGAGAGAAAAAGGUGACCCACGUUUUGGAUGUUUGCACCGAGGAGCGACUGAGAGACACCGACCUUCCUGCCUGCCCCUCCUCCCUCCCUCCCCUUCGUCCUCCGCUCUUCUUCAUCCCGAGAACAGGUGAUUUCAGUCCCACCGCCCUGACCUGACAGCAACCACGGUGUGUUUCUGCCACAUCACCUACGAGAGCCGAGCCGAAUCGCACGUGAUAACAAACUGUUCCUCACUUUGUCUUCGCAGUUAAUGGACAACGGAGCAAAACAAUGUUCGCAGAAGAAAGAAAAUGGAAACCACUGCAGCCAGCGAAGCAGAAGAAGGUAGAGGGGAACAAUGAAGGCUGUUGGGCCCAGAAGGGAGGGAGGAGGCAGCUGGAUGGGCAGCGAGCGAUCUCAAAGCAGCCGACGCUUUUGUUUCCAUUUGCACCGCCCAAAACCGUGAAAGUCAAGCCGGUUUGAGUGGGACAUAUCCGUCCUCCACCCGCCUGCACUCAGAAGAGAGUCAUCGAACUCCAGGCUGGGAGGAUAAAUGUAUAAACACUUGUGACGGCAGCAACCAUGGAAGGCAGCUUUCCACAGGCAGCAUGAUCUCCUCAGCUGGAAGUAAAACACACAUAACAGAUCGCAGCUACUGUGAGGCUGCUGUUGCCGUCGGAUGAAGCAGAACUGUAGCUGUUGGGCUGCGAGGAAGCGACCGAGACGUGAAGGUGGACUCUCAAAACGUCCGGUGUGUGUGUGUGUGUGUGUGUGUGUGUGUGUGUGUGUGUGUGUGUGUGUGUGUGUGUGUGUGUGUGUGUGUGUGUGUGUGUGUGUGUGUAAUUUGAUUAUAUUAAAUUAUAUCUCUUAAAAAAUAUAAAAUGUAAAGCUACUUGUGUCUCUCCUAACACUCAUGUAAUGCUGCUGGCUGUUCUGCAUGUCCUACUCUUGUUUUCAUGUGAACACUGCUUGUAAAUUUCUGUUUUCAAAAUCUGGGUCCAUGUCAGAGUCUGUAAAUAUUUACUGAGCUGGCUGAUGUUGGCUGUGCAGUGAUGCCAGGCUACAAAUAAGUGCUAUAAAGUAGAUUUUUGUGAAUAUUAUAUUAUGCUUGUAAAAUGCAUUUUACCCUACAACUUUGUAACGUGACUCGGAGACAACUGGACGCUAAUACGUUUAAUUUCAUCCCUUUUAAAAGUGUUACACAACUUGCUGCUCCUUCUCCUCGGUGUCACGUUGACUUCGGCACCUCCACUUGUGUCAAAUAAUGCGAGCAGCUGCAUGAUGCAUGUCAACAUGUGGACACAUUUUUAUACUCUUGUCCCUCUGCUGAGUACAUGACAGGCUUCGCUUUGUGCCACAGAGCCUCGGUUUGUCAGAAUUUCAUGUUUAGUUUGGGUGUGAGAGACAGACGGGGAGCAUGGCGGCAGAUGGGGUGUACUGGAGACUAAAAAUGCUGUUGCAAAUAGCCUCUGUGGGUCGGAGAAGGGGAACAGAGCACAUACUGCUGAGGAGAGAAUCGUGACAGUCGGUUGUGGUGAAACAUCCGACAUCUGUGAGCAGCGCUUCGUCAUUCGUGUGCAUUUAAAUGUGAAGUUUAAUGAAAUAAAGCGAUGUAAAUUCA